rnacentral:rRNA from 1 species
GACGAACGCUGGCGGCGGGCUUAACACAUGCAAGUCGAACGGAAAGGCCCUGCUUUUGUGGGGUGCUCGAGUGGCGAACGGGUGAGUAACACGUGAGUAACCUUCCCUUGACUUUGGGAUAACUUCAGGAAACUGGGGCUAAUACCGGAUAGGAGCUCCUGCUGCAUGGGGGGGGUUGGAAAGUUUCGGCGGUUGGGGAUGGAUGCGGGGCUUAUCAGCUUGUGGGUGGGGGAGUGGCUUACUAAGGCUUUGGAGGGUAGCCGGCCUGAGUGGGUGACCGGCGACAUUGGGACUGAGAUACGGACCAGACUGCUACGGGAGGCAGCAGUGGGGAAUAUUGCACAAUGGGCGGAAGCCUGAUGCAGAAACGCCGCGUGCGGGAUGAAGGCCUUCGGGUUGUAAACCGCUUUCGCCUGUGACGAAGCGUGAGUGACGGUAAUGGGUAAAGAAGCACCGGCUAACUACGUG